UACGUAGGGCGCAAGCGUUGUCCGGAAUUAUUGGGCGUAAAGAGCUCGUAGGCGGCCAGUUGCGUCUGCUGUGAAAUCCCGGGGCUCAACCCCGGGCGUGCAGUGGAUACGGGCUGGCUAGAGGCAGGCAGGGGAGAACGGAAUCCCGGUGUAGCGGUGAAAUGCGCAGAUAUCGGGAGGAACACCGGUGGCGAAGGCGGUUCUCUGGGCCUGACUGACGCUGAGGAGCGAAAGCGUGGGGAGCGAA
rnacentral:rRNA from 1 species